rnacentral:rRNA from 1 species
UACGUAGGGGGCAAGCGUUGUCCGGAAUCAUUGGGCGUAAAGCGCGUGUAGGCGGCCUGGUAAGUCCGUUCUGAAAGCCCGGGGCUCAACCCCGGGACUGCAUUCGAUACUGUCAGGCUAGAGGUAGGUAGGGGAGAUCGGAAUUCCUGGUGUAGCGGUGAAAUGCGUAGAUAUCAAGAGGAACACCGAUGGCGAAGGCAGGUCUCUGGGCCACUACUGACGCUGAGAAGCGAAAGCAUGGGGAGCGAACAGG